UACGUAGGGUGCGAGCGUUAAUCGGAAUUAUUGGGCGUAAAGAGCUCGUAGGCGGUGUGUCGCGUCGGCCGUGAAAACCUGCAGCUUAACUGUGGGCGUGCGGUCGAUACGGGCAUCACUGGAGUUCGGCAGGGGAGACUGGAAUUCCUGGUGUAGCGGUGAAAUGCGCAGAUAUCAGGAGGAACACCGGUGGCGAAGGCGGGUCUCUGGGCCGAUACUGACGCUGAGGAGCGAAAGCGUGGGGAGCAAACAGG
rnacentral:rRNA from 1 species